AUUACAGCCACUUCAGGAGCUAGGGCCAACAACUGAGUAAAGUAUUUAUUUGCCACUUUAGAGACUGAAGUUGAUAAAAAUGAACACAUCUCUUACCAGAAGAAAGUAUCAAAGAACAGAAAGCUUUAUUAGCUAAGGUUGAUGUGGUGCCAGAAGAGAGGAAAACUGGCUCAUAGGCCAGAGCAGCCAGAAGUGGAGAGAGAGGAGGCAGAGGCUGCCUUCCUCACAGCAUCGUGCCCAAGGGGCCAGAUCAUUGACAAAGAUAUUGACUUACAUCAAGCUGAGAUCAGAUCCCUGCAGGACUCCACCAGGAACACCAUCAUUGGAUAAUGAACUGCCCAUUUUCAAUUAUUUGACAUCAGUUAAUCAAUCCAUUUAAUAUGGGCUGCACUGAUUUUGUAUAGCACUAAUUUUGUUUUUAUCAGAAUAUCAUACAGGACUAAGUCAGAUGCCAUAUAGAAAUCAAAGAAGAGAACAAUCACGAGAAGCAUGCUAGCAGAUGUCGUUCAAAAAUGACAAGCACACUGUCCACAUGAUCCUCCCUCAUCAGCAAGAAACAAAG